GUCCUAGCCCUAAACGAUCAGGACUUGGGGUGCCACCCGUUCGGGUGUCGUCCCGGAGCUAACGCGAUAAGUCCUGCACCUGGGGAGUACGGUCGCAAGACUGAAACUCAAAGGAAUUGACGGGGCCCGCACAAGCGGUGGAACAUGUGGUUCAAUUCGACGCUACGCGAGGAACCUUACCUGGGCUCGAAAUGCUUAUGACCAGCUGUAGAAAUACGGCCUUCCCGCAAGGGACAUGAGUAUAGGCGCUGCAUGGCUGUCGU
rnacentral:rRNA from 1 species